rnacentral:rRNA from 1 species
AUUGAACGCUGGCGGCAUGCCUUACACAUGCAAGUCGAACGGCAGCACGGGGCAACCUGGUGGCGAGUGGCGAACGGGUGAGUAAUGCAUCGGAACGUGCCAUUGAGUGGGGGAUAACGUAGCGAAAGUUGCGCUAAUACCGCAUAUUCUGUGAGCAGGAAAGCAGGGGACCGCAAGGCCUUGCGCUCUUUGAGCGGCCGAUGUCAGAUUAGCUAGUUGGUGAGGUAACGGCUUACCAAGGCGACGAUCUGUAGCGGGUCUGAGAGGAUGAUCCGCCACACUGGAACUGAGACACGGUCCAGACUCCUACGGAGGCAGCAGUGGGGAAUUUUGGACAAUGGGCGCAAGCCUGAUCCAGCCAUGCCGCGUGAGUGAAGAAGGCCUCGGUUGUAAG